UAGGGAAUUUUGCGCAAUGGGGGAAACCCUGACGCAGCAACACCGCGUGAAUGUUAAGCCCUUCGGGGUGUAAAGUUCUGUCAGUAGGGACGAAAUUUGACUGUACCUACAAAGGAAGCACCGGCUAACUUCGUGCCAGCAGCCGCGGUAAUACGAAGGGGGCAAGCGUUGUUCGGAAUUACUGGGCGUAAAGCGCACGCAGGCGGCGUGACGCGUCAGAAGUGAAAUCCCCGGGCUCAACCUGGGAACUGCUUUUGAAACGGUCAUGCUUGAAUCAUGGAGAGGGUAGCGGAAUUCCGAGUGUAGAGGUGAAAUGCUUAGAUAUCACGAAGAACUCCUAUUGCGAAGGCAGCUUACUAAGCUAUAACUGACAUUGAUGCUCGAAAGUGUGGGUAUCAAACA
rnacentral:rRNA from 1 species